AUAGUGACAGGACGUUAAACCAUUAUUAUGGAUGACGGUGUUUUAAUACGCAAUAGGUUUUUUUUAAGACUUUUUAAAAUGUUUUUUUUCUUAUAUAUGAAAGAGUUGUUGUUACAUUUCAAGGUGCUAUGUGUUGUUUUUGUAUCAAUAUUCCCACAGGGAUUUUUUUUUUUAAAUGAUGUUGAUAUUUUUAUAAAUACAUGUAUGACUAUAUGUUGAUCUAGAUGAUAAACUGUACAUGUCAAAUUCUGAAGGACUGCAGUGACUAGAAGGGUUUAAUUAUGUAAUAGUGCAUAUGCAGUUUAACACAAUGAGAACUUUUUUUAAUUAUUUAAGCAUUGAAAACUCACUACUCUAGCAUUGGUUUGUGAAGAAAUCGCAAAAACUACCAUAUGAUAGUAGUAAUUAAUGGUACAGUACUGUAGGUAUAGGUUGAAAAGAUUAUUUAUAAUGCAUUGUGUUUAUAGUGCUAUGACAAUUGAAGGAUACACUGAGAGAAGUUCACCAAUAGCAGAUGAAUAUAGACUACCAGUAUAUUAGUGUGCAUUUUUCUACACUCAAAGCUGUAAAGAGUAAUAGUUUAGGUUCAUCAUCUCUGUCUGCUUAAUUAGCAAACUUUGUGGAAUAACCUUUGACAGAGUUAAAGAUUUUAGUCUUCUAUACCAGUGAGAGUUAUUCCCCUUAUUAAAAGGUUUAUGUACCUUAAAGUAAUUUAUUACUUUCAUUUUCACCUUAUACAGAGGUACAUGUAACACACUUAGCAGAGGCUCCAUGUACCUUUAAUUAAGUAAAUUAUAUCUCAUUCCUUUCAUUUUCACUGAAUAUAGUACACCUCAAUAGGGCACAAAAUGAGAUUCAAAACAGGGCGUACCGGUAAUUGGGUUUGUUUAUACAUAACAAACAUUUUUUUGCAAAGAAAUGAUGCACACUGAAAGCGAUGAACAUCGUACAUGUAUAAUGUACUGGGUAAUUUAAUUAGUCUGAAUUGGU
rnacentral:misc_RNA from 1 species